GCCGGGAUGGCGGAAUAGGUAGACGCACGGGACUCAAAAUCCCGCGCUGGAGACAGCGUGCCGGUUCGAUUCCGGCUCCCGGCACCA
rnacentral:tRNA from 7 species